rnacentral:antisense_RNA from 17 species
CUUGAGCGAGCCCAGCCACAGCGGCUGCUCGCGGUCCUGCCCGUAGGUGGCGAGCAGCGCCUGCGCCUC